UACGUAGGUGGCAAGCGUUGUCCGGAUUUACUGGGCGUAAAGGGCGUGCAGGCGGUCUGUUAAGUGCAGGGUGAAAGCUCCCGGCUCAACUGGGAGAGGUCCUUGCAUACUGGCGGACUUGAGGGGGGUAGAGGAAAGUGGAAUUCCCGGUGUAGUGGUGAUAUGCGUAGAUAUCGGGAGGAACACCUGUGGCGAAGGCGGCUUUCUGGGCCCUACCUGGACGCUGAGACGGCGAAAGCGUGGGGAGCGAACCGGG
rnacentral:rRNA from 1 species